GACGAACGCUGGCGGCGUGCUUAACACAUGCAAGUCGAACGAAGUGGCGAACGGGUGAGUAACUCGUAAUCAACCUGCCCUUCAGAGGGGGACAACAGUUGGAAACGACUGCUAAUACCGCAUACUGACGUCGGGGCUUGCGUUUGAUUAGCUCGUUGGAGGGGUAACGGCCCACCAAGGCGAUGAUCAGUAGGCGGUCUGAGGGGAUGCACGGCAACAUUGGGACUGAGAAAAGGCCCAGACUCCUACGGGAGGCAGCAGGGGGGAAUCUUCCGAAAUGGAGGAAAGUCUGACGGAGGAACGCCGCGUGAGUGAUGACGGCCUUCGGGUUGUAAAGCUAUGUUAAUCGGGACGCGGUACCGGAAUAGAAAGCCACGGCUAACUACGUGCCAGCAGCCGCGGUAAUUC
rnacentral:rRNA from 1 species